rnacentral:tRNA from 1 species
GGAGUGUUAGCUCAGCUGGGAGAGCAUCUGCCUUACAAGCAGGAGGUCGGGGGUUCGAGUCCCUCACACUCCA